rnacentral:rRNA from 1 species
UACGAAGGGGGCUAGCGUUGCUCGGAAUCACUGGGCGUAAAGCGCACGUAGGCGGACUUUUAAGUCAGGGGUGAAAUCCUGGAGCUCAACUCCAGAACUGCCUUUGAUACUGGAAGUCUUGAGUUCGAGAGAGGUGAGUGGAACUGCGAGUGUAGAGGUGAAAUUCGUAGAUAUUCGCAAGAACACCAGUGGCGAAGGCGGCUCACUGGCCCGGUACUGACGCUGAGGUGCGAAAGCGUGGGGAGCAAACAGG